rnacentral:rRNA from 1 species
AGUUUGAUUGCGGCUCAGAUUGAACGCUGGCGGGAUGCUUUACAUGCAAGUCGAACGGCAGCACGGACGGUCUGGUGGCGAGUGGCGAACGGGUGAGUAAUGUAUCGGAACGUGCCUAGCGGGGGAUAACUACGCGAAAGCGUAGCUAAUACCGCAUACGCCCUUCGGGGGAAAGCGGGGACCUUCGGGCCUCGCACUAUUAGGAGCGGCCGAUAUCGGAUUAGCUUAGUUGGUGGGUAACGGCUCACCAAGGCGACGAUCCGUAGCUGGUUUGAGAGGACGACCAGCCACACUGGGACUGAGACACGGCCCAGACUCCUACGGAGGCAGGGAAUUUUGGAUAAUGGGAAACCCUGAUCCAGCCAUCCUGCGUGAUGAAGGCCUUCGCUGUAAAGCACUUUUGGCAGGAAAGAAACGGCACGGGAUAAUACCCCGUGCAACUGAUUGAUUUGCGCCUGCAUUGGCGCACCGGCUAACUACGUGCCAGCAGCUGCGGUAAUACGUAGGGUGCAGCGUUAAUCGGAAUUACUGGGCGUAAAGCGUGCGCAGGCGGUUCGGAAAGAAAGAUGUGAAAUCCCAGAGCUUAACUUUGGAACUGCAUUUUUAACUACCGAGCUAGAGUGUGUCAGAGGGAGGUAACUGCGGCAUGAAUGCGUAGAUAUGCGGAGGAACACCGAUGGCGAAGGCAGCCUCCUGGGAUAACACUGACGUCGCACGAAAGCGUGGGGAGCAAACAGGAUUAGAUACCCUGGUAGUCCACGUCCUAAACGAUGUCAACUAGCUGCUGGGCCCGGGCCUUGGUAGCGCAGCUAACGCGUGAAGUUGACCGCCUGGGGAGUACGGUCGCAAGAUUAAAACUCAAAGGAAUUGACGGGGACCCGCACAAGCGGUGGAUGAUGUGGAUUAAUUCGAUGCAACGCGAAAAACCUUACCUACCCUUGACAUGUCUGGGAAUCUGAAGAGAUUUGGGAGUGCUCGCAAGAGAACCGAACACAGGUGCUGGAUGGCUGUCGUCAGCUCGUGUCGUGAGAUGUUGGGUUAAGUCCCGGCACUGAGCGCAACCCUUGUCAUUAGUUGCCAUGAAAGGGCACUCUAAUGAGACUGCCGGUGACAAACCGGAGAAGGUGGACGACACGUCAAGUCCUCGCGGUCUUUGGCGGUAGGCUUCACACGUCAUACAAUGGUCGGGACAGAGGGUCGCCAACCCGCGAGGGGGAGCCAAUCCCAGAAACCUGACCGUAGUCCGGAUCGCAGUCUGCAACUCGACUGCGUGGAAGUCGGAACGCUAGUAAUCGCGGAUCAGCAUGUCGCGGUGAAUACGUUCCCGGGUCUUGUACACACCGCCCGUCACACCAUGGGAGUGGGUUUUACCAGAAGUAGUUAGCCUAACCGUAAGGAGGGCGAUUACCACGGUAGGAUCUGGCGACUGGGGUGAAGUCGUAACAAGGUAG